UACGGGGGGGAGCAAGCGUUGUUCGGAUUUACUGGGCGUAAAGGGCGCGUAGGCGGCCACCGCAAGUCGACUGUGAAAUCUCCGGGCUUAACCCGGAAAGGUCAGCCGAUACUGCGGGGCUAGAGUGCAGAAGGGGCAACUGGAAUUCUCGGUGUAGCGGUGAAAUGCGUAGAUAUCGAGAGGAACACCUGCGGCGAAGGCGGGUUGCUGGGCUGACACUGACGCUGAGGCGCGAAAGCGUGGGGAGCGAACAGG
rnacentral:rRNA from 1 species